UACAACAUUGUGGAGUAUAGUUUGAUUGGAACAUCUGACUAUUUUAAUAUUGAUAGUACAACCGGUAUUAUCUCUGUUAAAAGAUCGCUUACAUUAGAUCCGAAUAUCCCGAGUUCCGUGUUGUUGAAUGUACAAGCAAGAGAUCUAGGAACCCCAUCUCUUUCCAGUCAAGCAACUGUAAGCUUAACGAUAGUGAGAAACACUUGUCCCUCGUUUACCAAUUUACCAGGCAAUAUAACCAUAUUACCAACAGUAGCAUCGAAUACCAACAUCUUUAACGUUUCAGCUGUUGAUAAUGAUCCUCUCCCAGACUUAGUUGUAAGAAGUUAUGCUAUCGUUGGUGAUGGUAACGCACCUAUAUAUUUCUCCAUUGAUGCAGCAACUGGUCGAUUAUUCACACGAUCUAACAUCAUCACAGAUUCGGCAUAUCAAUACACGGUGACAGUAUCCGCUACAGAUGGGGGAUCGUGUAUCAGAUACUCUACAUUAACUAUUGUUGUCAGACGGAAUCAAGCGGCACCAGUAUUUACAAGUCAAUCAUUUCAAUCAACUAUUCUGGAAACACAGAGUAUUUUCGUUCCUGUAUAUACCACAUCAGCUACAGAUUCUGAUCCAACGGCACCAAAUAACGUUGUACGCUACAUGAUUGCAUCAUCUGCUGCUACCAGUCAGUUCAGUGUGAAUGAAGUCACUGGACAGGUUUUCUUGAGAUCAACUGUAGCUGGU